CUUCAAAUUUGAGUAAACAACACAGCAUACAAGUGUUAAAAUCCUGUGAAUCAGAUUUACACUCAAUUAUACAUGUACAUCUAGGUGGUCUCUACGGAGUUAUUUAUGAUUUAAUUUGGCUAAAAAAAUGUCUGAUGAUAAUGAGGUACAUGAUUCAGACAAUGGAUUCUUCCACAGACUAUGCCAUAGAUUAGGACGUUGUCCAGAAAACUGCCAACAGUUAGGCAGAUAUGUGUGUAGUUGUGUGUUUUGUUUACCAUGCAGUGACUGUAUAUUUAAUAUGUGCUACAAGUACAACUGUAAGAAAUGUUGUUCUUCUAAACAGGAUACAAAACAUGAACAUGAAAUUGAAGUUGGUACAAAAACUGAAAGUGGAGAUGAAAGUUCUGAUGUAGAAUCUGUGAAAAGUGAAGAGGACACUAGAACUGCCAAAAGUAAUCCAAAUAUAAUCUGGACAGUAGAAGAUUUUUCAACUUCAACUCCAGAUACACACAUACCACGACAUGCAAGAACAAAAUCAAUGCCAAUGUCAAAAUCAUUGAGCGACUUGAAGCGUAACAACUUUAAGAACAUGACAAUAAGUUCAGACAGAAAUCUAAGUGCACACUCACUUUCAGUAGGAAGGUUAAAUGCAACAACUAGUGUAACAUCUCUAGAAAAUAUAUUUGUAACUGAAGGAUAUCGUCAAACUGCAGUGUAAAACUGAUCAUGGAAAUAAAUCAUCUUUCUUCUUA